rnacentral:misc_RNA from 1 species
AAGUCGUAACAAGGUUUCCGUAGGUGAACCUGCGGAAGGAUCAUUACAAGUAUCCAAACUUUACCUAAUUGUGAACUAGUUGUGAUGAAUGUUGUAGCAGGAGAAGAAGAGUUUUGAUGUUGGGCAGAUGUCUCGUACAUGUGCCCAACAGCAGCACUCUGCUUUUUCUGUGAAAGUUCUCAACAAACUCUUGUUAAACUUAUUUUGUCUGAUAAUGUUAUAUGAUAAAUUUCAUACAACUUGCAGCGAUGGAUCUCUUGGCUCUG